rfam:Ovis aries breed Texel chromosome 6, whole genome shotgun sequence.
UCUCUGGUGGUCCAGUGGUUAAGACUCUGUGUUUUCUCUGCCAGGGGCCCAGGUUCAAUUCCUGGUUGGGGAA